UCUCACUCAAUGGUGCUGCCACAAUCUGUGAAGCUACACAUGUCGACCUGUUUUCCUGAAGAAAAAUAAAGUCCAGCGAAAGACUUUUUCAAUAGCCUCUGGAAACUAUCAAUAAACCAAACUUAAUGAGCUUAUCCUUCUAGUAUCUCCAAACAGAAAAGGCACUAAGUAGCAAAGCAAAAUUUGUAGUAUUUUUUCAGGUGAAGCGAGGAGCACUGUUCAGUAUGCAGGGAACAGAGUCCACAGUUGGCACAAAGGCGCAGCAGCAGCAGUAGCAGCAGCUUCGCAGUAGAGGAGGCACCCGUGAGUGACCUCAGUGUGUGCAGCAAUGGAGAAUUGUGUGAAAAUCAAGAAACAUCAAUAGGUACUAACCGAACAUGGCAGUGCAGCUGUUAAGACCUCAUAUUCAGGAGAAUGGAGUCCAACCGUACUGAUUUAGACCUUCGUAAAUCACUUAGGCAAAUGCCGGGACAGUUCCUUAAUCUACGUCACACCUGACCAUUGUCCUACCCUUGUAGGGUACUUUUUCUACCCUUAUAAAGCAUGUUAUGUAUGCUGUGUGUUGAUUUGCACGUAUUACUUUGAGAAAUCCUACAUCAUUGUGAGAUGAUCCUUGGACGACUAAAGGCAGAGAAACAGAUGAAAAUAGAUAGCUCAAAAACAUACAUACACAAAGGUGCUUUUAUGACAUAGGACAGGUAGUCUGCUGUGGUCUCGAUGAAGGAACCGUUACAGAAUUUGCCUGCAAUGACUUAUGAGGUGUGACUGAAAAGUUCUCGACCCAUCCAAUAAAGGUUGUCAGUAGGCCAUUUGUUUAUGGCUAUUUUUCAGCGCAGUCCUCUUUUAGAGCCACACACUAUUGCCACCAGUGCUGCAGGCCCACUCUACCCUCCUUGUAGCAAGUUUCUCCCUGCACAGCAAAACAGACCUCCACCGCAGCCACAACGUCACUAGCUGAUCGAAAAUUGGUUCCAGCUAAAUGUUUCUCGAGCUUAGGGCAGAGAUGAAAGUCAAAGGGGAACAAAUCAGGUGAAUAAUGUGGGUGCUGAAGUAGGUCGAAGCCACAGGAUUCGAUGGAAGACAUUAUAGUGGCAGAUGUAAAUGUUUUAAUGAAAGAGCACUUAUUUUGGCAACAUCCUGAAGCGUUUCACUUUGACGAUCCCCCAUCACGUGCAUAGUUCAGCAGUGUAAUAGGCUCCUUUUACUGUUUCACCUGUUUUGAGGUAUUCAGCCAGGAUAACACCCCUCGGAUAUCAAAAAACAGAGACUGUCACCUUGCCAAUUGAUGUGAUUGACUAGAAUUUGUUGUGGGUGGGUGAGGAGGGAUUUUUCCACUAUUUUGAUUCAACCUCGGUUUUGGGUUGAAAGUGGUGAACCCACUGUCACAAAAUGGUUGGGAAAUGUUAGGAUCUGCCUCAAAAAGGGUCAAAUUUCUGGCGGACAUGACAGGUGUCUGGCAUUUGUUUUCUGUUGUCGACAUUCUUGGGACACAUCAACACGAGACCUCGUGCAUGCUGAGCACAACUCUUACGAUGUCUCUGACAUGUUUCUGAGAUGCGCCUACUCACUCAGCAGUAUAGCAUUCUGUUACACGCCUGCCCACCACAACGAUAUCCCAGAUCGCAGUGUCGUACUGACCAUUACCAGCCUUCGCCUGUGAGGUGCAUCUCAGACAGAUGUGUUGCCCUACUUGAAUACUGCCGCCCACUUUUUCGCAGUGGGAUAUGAAAGAGAAUCCUCCGCUAAUGUUUUGAUCAUGUCAUUAUGGAUUUUCUUUCUGUGCACUUGUUCCCUUCUCUGAAGAUACUGGGUGACCACAUGCUUGCUCUCUGUAUCCAUUUUUCAGUCUGUGUACACCUAGAAUACUUCAAACUCUAAUAUCUGCAUCGAAAAAGAAGAAAAAGGUAUUUGGUAUGUAACCUAGCAAAGGGGUGUACUAUUAGUUGCUAAACUUACAUUAAGCUAGAACAAGUAUUUCUCAGGCGGGCCGAGAACUUUUCAGUCACCCCUCAUAGAAAACCUGGAAAUACGUAAAUUGAAGCAAAGUCUGUCCUCCCAGAUAUGUUGUCAGAGUCUUAAAAACUCCACUGCCUCAUUCACUUGGUCUAUAUUGUACACUGUUCUUUGAUAACCACACACUCUGCUCCAGAUAACUUAUGACAAAAUCUUGCUCUCUCUCACUGCAAACAUUGGGAACACUGCUGCUGACUCUUGAAUUCUGAACAUGCUGCACGGAUUCCUGUUUGGUCGGAAAACUGACUCGAGGCCUGCAUAUGUGCCACUGUGCCUGUGCAUAUAUUCAUGUCCUUCCCUCAGUUCACCUAAGAAACUUUGUCAGCAUCCUCUCGUGAUAGAUGAGAUGUUGAGUUCAGGAAAAUGACGAGGAAUUACUGUCGUGCACUAUAAAUCUUGGUACAAGGCUUUCUUGUAAAAUUAUUACAUUGUGAUCAUUCAUUGUAAUGUGACAUGUAACAAUGAUUUAUCCCAUUUCACUAUUAAACUCUACACAGAGUCUUUUGAGUGUGUCUACCAGAUC